GUACUGCUGAAGAGUUCAAUAAUAGGACGAAACGAUCAUCCAGUGC
rfam:Schistosoma rodhaini strain Burundi genome assembly, scaffold: SROB_scaffold0001612